ensembl:lncRNA
CGCGGAUCCUAACGAGGAUCUACAUGUAACCGGCUUUGGGUACCCUGUCCAUAUGGACCGGUCGCCUCUUAUAACAAACAAAUCCCGCGGAGGCGGAGUGUGUUUUUACAUUAAUGAGAGGUACUGUAAUACUGUCGUGGUCCGGGAAAAAAUAUGUACCCCAGACCUUGAGCUGCUAUUCAUCUCAAUUCGCCCCUUCUACUUGCCGAGGGAGUUUCCCCAGUUUUCCUUCACCCUUGUUUACAUUCAUCCGCGGGCGAACGUCGCAUCAGCCAAUCAGCUGAUCGCGGAGGUGACCAACAGACUGGACGCUCUUUCCCUAAUAAUUGCCAGGGAAAGAAGACAUUGAAAACAUAUGAACAGUAUGUUACCUGUGCAACUACUAAGAAGAACUACACUAUUGACUUGUGCUACGGCUAAGUACCUGGGGUCUCAUUUAUAAAACUGUGCGUGGGAUCGUUACUAAAAAUGUGCGCACGCCCAGAAGCCAAGUUUUGCGUGCGCCAAAAAAUAUUCAGAUUUAUAAAACACUGCGUACGCACACCUGUACGCAAUCUUUGCUUUAUAAAUCACAUACUGACUACAAUUGUGCGCGGCUGAAUCAGCUUCACGUUCCGCCCUCUACACGCCCCUUUAUAACCAUAAAUGGUCAAUGCAAAUGACCUCAUGAAUGCGAUCUGCAUAUAAAACAGACUCAGAUGCCGGUAUUAUGUCUUGUUGGAAACAAUGGCAGGACAGAGAAAAGCCAAAAAAAGAAACUUCACAGAGGUUGAGGUGGAGACACUUGUGGGUGAGGUGGAGGCCCGAAAAUAAAUUUUGUUCGGCGGUCACGGGAUCGGGAUCACCAACAUUAAAAAACAGAAUGAGUGGCAACAUGUUGCUGCGGCAGUGAACGCUGUCAGUGGUACGGAGCGCACAGUACCAGAAUUGAAAAAGAAGUGGUCCGACAUAAAGGUGGGUGCAAAGCAGAGGCUGUCCUCACACCGCCAGAGCGUGACUGCAACUGGAGGGGGACCCAGUACUCCUGACCUAACACCAAUUGACACGAAAGUUGCAUCCAUAAUUUAAUGCAAGCGUGAGUGGCAUCAUGUCCGAAAGGGAAGGAGACACUGACAACACAGAAGAACAAGAGUCAGCGGUCGGUGGGGAGGAGGAGGACGAUGAUGCCGGCGAGGGGCCCUCAGCCGCAGGUCCUCCGGCUGCCCCCACCCCCAGCACCAAGCGUCAGUCCGCUGGUCGGGUCCUCACAGACGCAGUUCUGCAGCUACAGAGGGAAACGAUAGAUGCAGCCAACAACUUGUCUGAGGAGAUGAGGCAGAUUCGAAAUGUUAUCACCGAAAUUGCCACAAUAUUAAAAGAUACUGUGAAAAAAUGAACCUUGAGUCGUCUUCAUUUCAUAAACGCCGCAUGACAUCCGCACGUACUCUUGCACCCUGUUGAAAUCCAACUUGCC